UCGACGGCAGCACGGGAGCAAUCCUGGUGGCGAGUGGCGAACGGGUGAGUAAUACAUCGGAACGUGCCCUGUCGUGGGGGAUAACUAGUCGAAAGAUUAGCUAAUACCGCAUACGACCUGAGGGUGAAAGCGGGGGACCGCAAGGCCUCGCGCGAUAGGAGCGGCCGAUGUCUGAUUAGCUAGUUGGUGAGGUAAGAGCUCACCAAGGCGACGAUCAGUAGCUGGUCUGAGAGGACGAUCAGCCACACUGGGACUGAGACACGGCCCAGACUCCUACGGGAGGCAGCAGUGGGGAAUUUUGGACAAUGGGGGCAACCCUGAUCCAGCAAUGCCGCGUGUGUGAAGAAGGCCUUCGGGUUGUAAAGCACUUUUGUCCGGAAAGAAAUCCCCUGGGCUAAUACCUCGGGGGGAUGACGGUACCGGAAGAAUAAGCACCGGCUAACUACGUGCCAGCAGCCGCGGUAAUACGUAGGGUGCGAGCGUUAAUCGGAAUUACUGGGCGUAAAGCGUGCGCAGGCGGUUUUGUAAGACAGGCGUGAAAUCCCCGAGCUCAACUUGGGAAUGGCGCUUGUGACUGCAAGGCUAGAGUAUGUCAGAGGG
rnacentral:rRNA from 1 species